rnacentral:rRNA from 1 species
UGUGCCAGCAGCCGCGGUAAUACAGAGGUCUCAAGCGUUGUUCGGAUUCAUUGGGCGUAAAGGGUGCGUAGGCGGCGCGGUAAGUCGGGUGUGAAAUCUUGGAGCUUAACUCCGAAACUGCAUUCGAUACUGCCGUGCUUGAGGACUGGAGAGGAGACUGGAAUUUACGGUGUAGCGGUGAAAUGCGUAGAUAUCGUAAGGAAGACCAGUGGCGAAGGCGGGUCUCUGGACAGUUCCUGACGCUGAGGCACGAAGGCCAGGGGAGCAAACGGGAUUAGAUACCCCGGUAGUCCUGGCGGUAAACGGUGCACGUUUGGUGUGGGAGGAUUCGACCCCUUCUGCGCCGGAGCUAACGCGUUAAACGUGCCGCCUGGGGAGUACGGUCGCAAGAUUAAAACUCAAAGAAAUUGACGGGGGCCCGCACAAGCGGUGGAGUAUGUGGCUCAAUUCGAUGCAACGCGAAGAACCUUACCUGGCCUUGACGUGCAUCUCUAAGUUGGUGAAAGCCAGCGAGUCCCGAAAGGGACGAUUUGCACAGGUGCUGCAUGGCUGUCGUCAGCUCGUGUCGUGAGAUGUUGGGUUAAGUCCCGCAACGAGCGCAACCCCUGUGAACUGUUGCCACGGAACCGAGAGGUUCCAGCACUCUGUUCAGACUGCCCCGCUCUAACGGGGAGGAAGGUGGGGACGACGUCAAGUCAGUAUGGCCCUUACGGCCAGGGCUGCACACGUACUACAAUGCCCAGUACAGAACGAUCCUAGACCGCGAGGUGGAGAAAUCACUAAAACUGGGCCCAGUCAGAUGAGUCUGCACUCGACUUCAUGAGCCGAUCGCUAGUAUGGCGUAUCAGCUACGA